CUAUGUUGCAUGCCUAACGUGACGGAAAUUGGCCCCGGAUGAGUCCUAAGUUUUGCCUCUCACCSAUUCGUGGUGUUAGGUUNACGUGGAAGUACUGCCCAUUSUCCUUGAUUGCUCCGCCCUUUCGCGUUGCAAUCGUGGCCCAUGGGUUGCUACUAGUUCCCUCGGAUGCAGAACCWUUGAGGGGUGCACAGUAUGUUGCUGUUGUUUACCCCCAAGGCGUUCAUCGRUCGAUGCGUACGACAGCUGUGCCCCGUUUUGGUCCCCUCUCUAACUUGUUUGGAUGGGGCUCAUGCGGUGCCGGCGUCGCGAAGGAAUGCUACCUGGUU
rnacentral:misc_RNA from 1 species